UACAGAGGUCUCAAGCGUUGUUCGGAUUCAUUGGGCGUAAAGGGUGUGUAGGUGGCGCCGUAAGUCGGGUGUGAAAUUUCGGAGCUUAACUCCGAAACUGCAUUCGAUACUGCGGUGCUUGAGGACUGGAGAGGAGACUGGAAUUCAUGGUGUAGCAGUGAAAUGCGUAGAUAUCGUAAGGAAGACCAGUGGCGAAGGCGGGUCUCUGGACAGUUCCUGACGCUGAGGCGCGAAGGCCAGGGGAGCAAACGGG
rnacentral:rRNA from 1 species